rnacentral:rRNA from 1 species
AUGGUCGACCACGUUGUCGGCGCCACCACCACCUACGCCCUCUGGCAGAAGAUCCGCGCUUUCUUCCUCGCCAACCGCGAUGCCCGGUACAUGAUCCUCAAUUGACAUUUUCAAAAUCUCAAGCAAGGUGACCUACCCGUGGCUGAGUAUGCGCGCCGCAUGAAGCUCCUCACCGACGGCCUUGCGGACAUUGACCACGCCGUCACGGAGACCGACCUCACCACCUAGUUCCUCCAUGGUCUCGACAAGCGGCUUGACACCAUCUGCGUCGUACUUGGUGACCAGGGCCUCCCGUUCGACACCGCCCUCUCACGGGUGGUCCUGGUAGAGGAGUCCCAGUCACAACGGGCUGCCGAAGAGAGCGCAUCCGCCUUCGCUCUUCCCGGUGGUGAUCGCGGCUCCACCAGCGGUUCUGGCCCCUCCUCGCGGGGCGCCGGUGAUCGCGGCUCCAGCAGCUCCUCCGACAGGCCGUUAUCCGAUCGCUCCCAGGCUCCUCACCCGCCGCAGCCCCCAUCUGACCGUGGCCGCGGUGACCGCGACCGUGGGCGCGGUCGUGGACGCGGCGAAUCCACUUGGCGUGGCCAUCCGGCGCCCCUGCCCUCGCCAUUCACCGGGUAUUUUUCCCCGUAUGGCAUGGCGCUCCCGCCGCCGCGCUCGGGUUGGGUGCCUCCCAACGCCGCCGGCGUUCUCGGCCCCCGUCCAGGCGCCCACGCUCAGGCCUACAACAUGUUGAUGGGGAACGUUGCAGAAAAUUAA